AAAUGAAAAUUAAAAGCAUAAUUUAGGUCUUCUUCCACCUCUCUUUGCCGCCACACUUCACUCAUCUCUCUUUCUCACAAAUUUCUCUUAAUUUCCACCAUGGAAGUUUAUGGUUAAGCUUCCUAAACCCUAAAUUCAACCCUAAAUCCCCUACUUUCCUUAAAGAAAACUAGUAAUUGAGCCUUGAAAAGAAGAUUGAAGAAAGAAAAAUUCAAGAAGAAGGUGGAAAAAUUGAAGAGGGAGAAGCUACAUAAAGCGGUUAGUUCAAAUCAUCUAAUCUCUCCUUAUAUUCAUGCAUAUAUACUUGAAUUAACUUAGAAAAUUGAGAAAAAUGAAAUAAAAUCAAGCAUAUUAGAACCCUAAUGAAAUUCGGCUACCAUGGUGGUAGUGUGAAUUGAUGUGUUUUGGUUUGAUAAAAUAUGUAUACAAGUUCAAUUAAGUGUGUAGAGAAUGUUUAGAUACUUUAAUUGCAUAAAUUGAAACACUUGGAAAAAUUAGGGUUCUUGACUUAGGGUUUGAAAAAGAAAAAUUGUAGAAAAUGGUCAAUGGAUGCAAAUGAUCUUGAUGAGGGUUAGAAAUGGUCAAAUGGGACCAUUUGUGGUGUGUGUGAAUU
rnacentral:misc_RNA from 1 species